rnacentral:sRNA from 1 species
CUUCAUGUAGAUUGCUGUGUAUGUCUUUUUCUUCAUAAUUCACCUUAAUUCUGUGUGCUUUGAAUGAUACUGUUGUUGUUACUGUUGUUUUACAUCCAUUGUCACAUAAAACUCUUAUCAUUUAUUCUUCCAGGCCAGCGACUGUCCUUAUGGGUUAGAGGUACACUGUCUGCAGGAAUUUAUUUUUUUACAUAUUUUUACUAGUUGAUGGGAAAGACAUUGGGAAAGACCUGGGCUGGAUUUGUGAUGAGCUGUGUUUACUGAGCAUGAUGAAGUAAAGCUCAACGUGAUUACUCUGAAGUCCAGCCUUA